AGAGGUCCUACCUGCCCGGUGACCCCAAGUUAAACGGCCGCGGUAUUUUGACCGUGCUAAGGUAGCGCAAUCACUUGUCUUUUAAAUGAAGACCUGUAUGAACGGUGAAACGAAGGCUUAACUGUCUCCCUCUUUCAGUCAAUGAAAUUGAUCUACCCGUGCAGAAGCGGGUAUAUAUAUACAAGACGAGAAGACCCUUUGGAGCUUAAGACAAAAGAUCAGCUAUGUUAAACCCCUUAACAAAAAUUGAGCCAAACAAAACAUUUCACUUUAGUCUAAUGUCUUCGGUUGGGGCGACCGCGGGGGAAAAAAAAGCCCCCAUGUAGAACCAGGGUGCUCCCUAAACUAAGAGAAACAUCUCUAAGUCACAGAACAUCUGACCUAAAGAUCCGGCAACACGCCGACCAACGAACCAAGUUACCCUAGGGAUAACAGCGCAAUCCCCUCCAAGAGUCCAUAUCGACAAGGGGGUUUACGACCUCGAUGUUGGAUCAGGACAUCCUAAUGGUGCAGCCGCUAUUAAGGG
rnacentral:rRNA from 1 species